rnacentral:rRNA from 1 species
GACGAACGCUGGCGGCGUGCUUAACACAUGCAAGUCGAGCGGUAAGGCCCUUUCGGGGGUACACGAGCGGCGAACGGGUGAGUAACACGUGGGUGACCUGCCUUUAGCUCUGGGAUAAGCCUGGGAAACUGGGUCUAAUACCGGAUAUGACUCCAUGAUGCAUGUUGUGGGGUGGAAAGCCUUGUGCGGCUGGAGAUGGGCCCGCGGCCUAUCAGCUUGUUGGUGGGGUGAGGCCUACCAAGGCGACGACGGGUAGCCGGCCUGAGAGGGCGACCGGCCACACUGGGACUGAGACACGGCCCAGACUCCUACGGGAGGCAGCAGUGGGGAAUCUUGCGCAAUGGGCGAAAGCCUGACGCAGCGACGCCGCGUGAGGGAUGACGGCCUCGGUGUAACUACUUCUACGCUCGACGAACGCGACGAGUGACGGUAGGAGACGAGAAGAAGACGACCGGCC